rnacentral:snRNA from 1 species
AGCUUUGCACAGUGGCAGUAUUGUAGCCAAUGAGGUUUAUCCAAGGCAUGAUUAUUGUUAAUUGAAAUUCAAAAAAA